UUUAAGUUGUAUUUAAGUUGUAUUUAGAUAAUAUUUCGAUACAAGUUUUGUUAUGAUUUUCUGACGAUCAUAAAACUACCUUAUCGAUAUCUAAUGGUGUUAUUCUAUCUCACCUCCAUUAAAUGUCAGUUAAUUGAUCCAUACUAUACGCUAGUAUAUUGAUUACUAUUUAGAUAACUAAAAAUUGAUAUUUAUUGGUUAUCUUUGAAUAUUUCGUAAAUUUAUACCUAAAUGAUAUUAUCUUUUUGGAUAUUAAAAGUUAUCUUCCGGGCGGACAUUAGAUAACCUUUUCAGUAAACAGAAAUCUAACUUUUAAAAAUAAAAAUAAAGUUAUCCUGAUCUAAUUUUGUAUAGUAGGAUGAAAUACUUAAAGAUGACGUUGUUCUACUUGGAUACUCUCUCCAGUAGAUCGUUGCACGGAGGCUCAGGGCUCGGACGUACGAAAUGAAUACCACACGAUUCCUAGUAUUUAUUCCUGGCUUUUAAUGUGUUACUAUUUUACAAUAGACUUCGGUAAAAGCUAUUUACAAACUGCGACUCGCAUACCGCUCACUCACGAUACCGCGAUUUAACGAUUGUCUUUACGCCGCGGUGCACCGGCUUAGGGCCUGAGCACAAAGAUUGUCGCAAACUUUUCCGACAGAGAAAACGUAAGUCGGUGUCGGAAGUCAACGCACAAGGAUUGACGUAAACGUAUGUCGUAUCCAUCGCACUGCCUCUGACUCCCCUCUUUGUAAUCACAUCGAUUACUUUUAUUGAUAUUUAGGAUUCUAUUUCAUUUAUGAAAGAUUUAUUGAAUCAAAGAGAAUUUCUUUUACGUGCUUUAAGUAAUCUUAAAACUUUGUCAGAUAAUGGAAGAUCAUGAUUACACUUCAAUUGAUUCAUAUAUAGAUGAUUCAAUUGCAUAUACUGAAGAUAUGGAGCCUUCAACUGUAAAUGUUGCUAUUGAAGAAAAAGUGGGUGACAAUUAUCUUAUCGAAUUAUACAGGGAACGAAGAUGUUUGUACGAUAAAAAUCAUCGGGAUUUUAAAAAUAAACAAAUAAAAAAAAAUGUUUGGUUCGAAAUUUCUACUGUCAUGCAACAGAAAAACCUAGGUAAGCAUUACACUCCUGAAUAUUGUCAAACAAGAUGUUCUUCUUUGCUGGACCAAUAUAGCCGCGAAAAACGCAAUAUUAAAAAUGAUUACAAAAAUGGAAGUGCUUGUUCAAAACGCAAAACAUCUGCAUUUUUUCCCAACUGUCUUUUCUUGACAAUUUUAUUAAAAGAAGAAGAACGUUUUCCAACGUUGAAAAGAAAAAGAACAUACUUCAAAUCAUCAAAGAUUCAGAAGCAGUAAACUCAAUAACUCAUGACAAGAAAAGUAAUAACGAAUCUACUGAUGAAUCAGAUUCUGAACAGAUAUCAUUAAAGUGCCUCAAAAAAGAAACAUUAGUGCAUGUCAAGAUGUAUCUCAAGAUAAGGAAAACAUUUAACAAGACUAUAACAGACGUAAAAAACGUAAAAUUGAUGAAUCCAAAAAUAUUGAUGAAACAUUCACGAACAUCAGCAAUGCAAUUUUGAAUCUUCUCGAGAGUUCAAAAGAAAAUACUACAGAUAAUGUAAAAACAAUUGAUCAGUCAUUCACUGAUUAUAUUCGCGUACAUUUAGAAAAUAUCCCUGAACCCGAAAAAUCAGCAAGAAAAAAAUUGAUAAUUGAUGCCCUUACUGCACCAAUACGCAAAACAUGUACCUUAUUGAAACAUCAUUGCACACGUGAAAUACUGAUAGCAAAGUUAUUACAUCAUUUGGCUGCCACACUUGAGUAAUUAUGUAAAAAAAAAAUGCUGUUGGGUUCAAAUAAAGUUGGACGAUAAAGUUAUAAGCAAAACCAUGUUUUUAUUAAGUUACAACAUAUU